rnacentral:rRNA from 1 species
GUCCACGCCCUAAACGAUGUCAACUGGCUGUUGGGAGGGUGACCUUUCAGUAGCGAAGCUAACGCGUGAAGUUGACCGCCUGGGGAGUACGGCCGCAAGGUUGAAACUCAAAGGAAUUGACGGGGCCCGCACAAGCGGUGGAUGAUGUGGAUUAAUUCGAUGCAACGCGAAGAACCUUACCUACCCUUGACAUGUCCGGAACUUGCCAGAGAUGGCUUGGUGCCCGAAAGGGACCGGAACACAGGUGCUGCAUGGCUGUCGU